UACGGGGGGAGCAAGCGUUGUUCGGAUUUACUGGGCGUAAAGGGCGCGUAGGCGGUCAGCACAAGUCAGUUGUGAAAUCUCCGGGCUUAACCCGGAAAGGUCAACUGAUACUGUGCGACUAGAGUGCGGAAGGGGCAACUGGAAUUCUCGGUGUAGCGGUGAAAUGCGUAGAUAUCGAGAGGAACACCUGCGGCGAAGGCGGGUUGCUGGGCCGACACUGACGCUGAGGCGCGAAAGCGUGGGGAGCGAUCCGG
rnacentral:rRNA from 1 species